GGGGGUCUGUGCUUCAGCAGCAGAGCAUCUGCUUCGUAUGCAGAAGGUUUCUGGUUCAGUCCCUGGCAUCUCCA
rnacentral:tRNA from 1 species